rnacentral:rRNA from 1 species
CGGAUAGAGCCAGCGAAGUCGCUCGUAUUCAGCCAAAAGUCUGGGGUUGCCUGUCGUCGUGUUUCUAAUCGAGCACGGCGGUUUGUCUUCUCCGGAUUGAGGUGCAUUUGCGGGCGUUUGCGCUGAGACUUGCGAGGCAGCUGCGGGACCGGCGUUUAGAGGCUUCCCAUUGGGUUGAACCUGGGCGCCGUUACAGCUGUUUGCCUUGCUCGUACUGGUCUGGCCUACGGACCCUGCUCGUGCUGUUGUCCACUGGCCAAGGCAUCGCAUGCGAUGUCUAGCCUGGGGGCUGCAGCGCGGGUUGGUGUCCCCGGAUCGCCUCUCGGUGUAGAAGCUGGUCAUCUCUCCGACCCGUCUUGAAACACGGACCAAGGAGUUUAGCGUAUGCGCGAGUCAUUGGGUGUUAAAACCCACAGGCGCAAUGAAAGUGAAGGCUCGGUCGCCGGGCUGACAUGCGAGUGCCGCGGCUUCGGCCCAGGCAUGCAGCAUGGUCCCAUUGCAAUCGUUUACGAUACAGUGGAGACAGAGCGUAUGCGCUGAG